AUGAUGCAGGGAAGCCCCCUGAGUCCCGAUGAGCACCGGCUGACCUCGCCGCCGAGCCUGCACCAGCCGGCGUCGACCAUCGUCGUUGCCAUCGACCGGGACCGCAACAGCCAACUGGCCAUGAAAUGGGUGGUGGACCACCUCCUCUCCGGCGCCUCCCAUAUCAUUCUCCUCCACGUGGCGGCCCACCCUCCUGCAGCCAACCAUGGAUUUGCCAUGGCUGAGACGACGCAGGACGCGCUGGAGGCUGAAAUGAUGGAGAUCUUUGUCCCCUUCAGAGGAUUCUGCUCUAGGAAUGGGGUGCAAGAAUCGGAGGUGAUACUGGAAGAGGCAGACGUCCCCAAGGCCAUCAUAGACUACAUCAGUGCCAACAAGAUCCAGAGCAUCGCGCUGGGCGCGUCCAACAGGAACGCAUUCACCAAGAAGUGGAAGAACCCCGACGUGCCCUCCAGCCUCAUGAAGGGCGCGCCCGACUACUGCAACAUCUACGUGGUCGCCAAGGGCAAGCCCGUCAACGUCAGGCUCGCCAAGUGCGGCGUGCCGGCCGACGACAGCGACUUCCUCCUCGCAACCUACUCCAGGAGGAGCUCCAGGAGCCAGCUGCCGCCGGUCUUGCCCGACUUUUUGUCCUCCAGCAGGCGCUCCAUCGACAGGCCCGAGCUCACCACGCGCCCGCCGUUCCGCGAGCGGCCCCUGCAGGCGUCCGCGACCAAGCCCCACCUCCUCUUGGCAAGGAUGGACAGCACCACGCUGCGCUCCAACUCCCACGACCCAUCCAGCCUCGACCCCGACUUCGCACAGGCCGUGCAUUUCCCCUCCAUGGACUUUGGCGAGAACAUGGACGCGCUCCCCCUCAGCCCCCGGGAGCCCGGCACGCCCCUCUCCGCCUUGGUACGUGUAAAAAAGGCCCAGCGCGAGGUGGAGGCGGAGAUGAGGCGGCUCAAGCUGGAGCUGAAGCAGACCAUGGACAUGUACAACGCAGCAUGCAAGGAGGCCAUCAACGCCAAGCAGAGGGCCAAGGAGAUGCACCUGCUCAAGAUGGAGGAGGCGCGGCGCCUGGAGGAGGCCCGUCAGUCGGAGGAGGCCGCAUUGGCGCUCGCCGAGAUGGAGAAGGUCAAGUGCCGCGCCGCCAUGGAGGCUGCCGAGGCCGCGCAGCGUCUGGCCGACCUCGAGGCACAGCGUCGCCGCAACGCCGAGGUGCGCGCGCGCCGGGAGGCCGACGAGAAGGUGCGCGCCCUGGACGCCAUCGCCAACCACGACUUCCGCUACCGCAAGUACAGCAUCGACGAGAUCGAGAUUGCCACCGAGGGCUUCUCCGAGAGUCUCAAGAUCGGGGAAGGCGGCUACGGCCCCGUCUACAGCGCCAGCCUCGACCACACUCCGGUCGCCAUCAAGGUGCUCCGCCCGGACGCCCAGCAGGGCCGGAAGCAGUUCCAGCAGGAGGUGGAGGUGCUCAGCCGCAUCCGCCACCCCAACAUGGUCUUGCUCCUCGGUGCCUGCCCGGAGUACGGCUGCCUCGUCUACGAGUACAUGGAGAACGGCAGCCUCGAGGACCGCCUGUACCGUCGCGGCGGCACGCCGACGCUCCCGUGGAGCCAGCGCUUCAGGAUCUCGGCUGAGAUCGCGACGGCUCUGCUGUUCCUUCACCAGACCAAGCCGGAGCCGCUGGUGCACCGAGACCUCAAGCCGGCCAACAUCCUGCUGGAUCGCAACUACGUGAGCAAGAUCAGCGACGUCGGGCUGGCGCGCCUCGUGCCACCGGCGGUGGCGGACAGCGUCACGCAGUACCGGCUGACGGCCACGGCGGGCACCUUCUGCUACAUUGACCCGGAGUACCAGCAAACGGGCAAGCUGGGCGUCAAGUCGGACAUCUAUUCUCUGGGCGUGCUGCUGCUGCAGGUUAUCACCGCGCGGCCGCCCAUGGGGCUCACGCAUCACGUCGAGAAGGCCAUCGAGUCCGGAACCUUCGCACAGAUGCUGGACAUCACCGUCAAGGACUGGCCCGUGGAGGACGCGCUGGGGUUCGCCAAGCUCUCGCUCAACUGCACGGAGAUGCGGCGGAGGGACCGACCGGACCUCGGCACCGUCAUACUGCCGGAGCUCAACCGGCUCAGAAACCUCGGCAUCGCCUACAACCAGGCGCGCGCCACCGUCCCUGCUGGCGACAGCAGUUCGCAUGGGGACGGGAACGGGCAGGAAGGGGUCAGCUCACCGACGGCUGACGCGGGGUUGUGGAGAACGGCGGAAAGCUAG
rnacentral:rRNA from 1 species